GAUGAACGCUGGCGGCGUGCCUAACACAUGCAAGUCGAACGGAGUUACUUUGGUGAAGUUUUCGGACGGAUCUGAUUUAACUUAGUGGCGGACGGGUGAGUAAUGCGUGAGCAACCUGCCCUUCAGAGGGGGACAACAGUUGGAAACGACUGCUAAUACCGCAUAAUGUAUCCGGAAGGCAUCUUCUGGAUACCAAAGGAGAAAUCCGCUGAUGGAUGGGCUCACGUCUGAUUAGCUAGUUGGUGAGGUAACGGCUCACCAAGGCUGCGAUCAGUAGCCGGACUGAGAGGUUGAACGGCCACAUUGGGACUGAGAUACGGCCCAGACUCCUACGGGAGGCAGCAGUGGGGAAUAUUGGGCAAUGGGCGAAAGCCUGACCCAGCAACGCCGCGUGAAGGAAGAAGGCCUUCGGGUUGUAAACUUCUUUUAAGAGGGACGAAGAAGUGACGGUACCUCUUGAAUAAGCCACGGCUAACUACGUG
rnacentral:rRNA from 1 species